GACGAACGCUGGCGGCGUGCUUAACACAUGCAAGUCGAGCGGAAAGGCCUGCUUUCCCUUGUGGAUUGCGGGUACUCGAGCGGCGAACGGGUGAGUAACACGUGAGUGAUCUGCCCCCAACUUGGGUAUAAGCCUGGGAAACUGGGUCUAAUUCCCGAUAGGACUGCAGGGUGGUGCCUGUGGUGGAAAACGAUUUUCUAGUGGUUGGGGAUGAGCUCGCGGCCUAUCAGCUUGUUGGUGGGGUAAUGGCCUACCAAGGCGGCGACGGGUAGCCGGCCUGAGAGGGUGGACGGCCACAUUGGGACUGAGAUACGGCCCAGACUCCUACGGGAGGCAGCAGUGGGGAAUAUUGCACAAUGGGCGGAAGCCUGAUGCAGCGACGCCGCGUGGGGGAUGACGGCCUUCGGGUUGUAAACUCCUUUCGACCGCGAGGAAGCCACCUGGUUGGAAGGGUGGUGACGGUAGUGGUAGAAGAAGCACCGGCUAACUACGUG
rnacentral:rRNA from 1 species